ACGCCUGAUUUAUUACGAGGGCCUGAUGGAAUAAGCUUAGGCCAUAGUAUAGAGAGAGAUAUUCCAUCAAGAUCUGUCUGUCCUCUCUUUUCUCUACAUCAGCGCGCCAGAUUAGCUUGGACAAUGCAUCAGAGCCAGGAUGACUUCCAGAAAAAUCAACUUCAUUUCUGCCAAGAUCUGUCUUCAAGUCAUGGAUUCGUUCCAAAAUAUUGUCAUAGGACUUCAGAUGCCAGAAACCCGAGAUCUGCACCUGUGAUCAAAUUUUCAUCCGAUUCAAAACCUUAUAUCUGAAUAAUACAUCAAACCAAUACAAUAGGUUGUGAUAUAAACAUUUCAACUGUAUUAAUUCAUUGAUGUUAUAUUUGAUUCUUUAAUGUUGAAUGUGAUAGAUAACGGGGAGCAUAUGUGAACGAGGGCCAGAAUGAGAUUGAGACUCUUGAGAUCUUUAACCAGAUACAGAUAUUUUUGUUCAUAGAUUAUAUAUCAAUGAAGUUCAAUUAACAUUCGAAAAUAAAAUUGAAUGCUUUUAAGCCCUUGGUAUUAUAAUGUUUUCAAUGUUGAAUAUUUGUACGUAAAUAAAUGUAAGAAAUCUA